CCUGCUGGGGACAGAGAUGCUCAUUAACGGCCACAUGCACACCAAGUUCAAAAAUUUCAUCCGAAAUUAUUGUCACAAUUUUAAAAUACAACCUCAGGUUGUGUCAAUCAUGAUAACACACGGCAUCUUUGAAACUUUAUUUGAAACCUAUUGUUUACAUUUUUGGAACGCGUUUGACUUUAUGGGUACGAGUUUGACAGCAGACUAUUUUGCCGACAGUGCAUACAUACGCACUGUGGCCAGAGCGAAGUGAGACGCAAGUCGAAGUUAAGUAAGUCGAAGUUAAGUAAUAAACAUAGAUCAGAAUUUAAUAUUGGUUGCAUGUGAUUGGUUUAUUCGAUUUCAGUACACUGGAAAGGUCUCGUCCAUUUCAGAGUCCCAGCCUUGACGUAGCUUCCUGUUACCUAUAUCGCUGCCGAACUGUUUUUAUCGUGUACUUGUGUAGUGUCAAUGAAUGAGCUUUCCUAUAGCAGUGUUUUUUAUCCAAUCGAAGUUAAAGUUGAUAUUUAGCAGAUGCUUUAAUCCAAAGCAUCACUGACUCGCAAUGGCAGAUUUGGGAAUUGAACAUGGGUCGACCGAUCAUCAGCCGGUGACCCCUCUACAACUUCAGAGUAGAUAUUUUACGACACUCCUCGCUCGGUCAGUCUACUUUGUCCUCUUUCCCUGUUCCUCUGACAACGGUUGACUCACUUUCUGCUUCUUUUCACCGGAUCUGUCUGAGAAACUCCAGCGCUACCUUGUUCUAGCUGGUGCCUGGCACAUGUUUGUAGUGGCGUAAAGCAAUUUGUUACAUCGUGAGACAGCGAGACUUGAGACGCGGACCAAGGGUGGUUUUUCCCCACAGCGAGAAGGCCACCAUUCAACCCGGAAAAAGUCAUAUAACCAUCCCAAUGACCCCGAAGCUGUUAUGGUUAAGGUAAAUUAAGCUAAAAAAAACAGCAUAGUUCCCCUUUAACUUUGUGUGUGAGGAGGCCUUAUAAAAUACCAUGAGAAUAACAGGCUAGUUGACAUGUGAAUGCAACAUAUGCAGAUGGGGGAAGUUCCUUUACAAAGCUUUGCCUCGCCUACACCCCCACGACCCCCACCCCCUUCAUUCAGAGCUAUUAAGCUGAGGUGCAGCCAUUUCCGAAAGUCCUUUCUGCCAUGAUUCCGUGAUAGAGGUCAGGACCAACACCCUUAUCAACCAGGGGCGCGUCUCCCAAAACCAUAGUAUUAGUUAGCAACUUUGUUGGUUGCAAUGCAAUUUCCCAUUGUCAACCAACUAAGUUGCUAACAGGUUAGCAACUAUGGAUUUGGGAAACGCACCCCUGGGUUGUGGUUCAUCGAAACAUUAUAUCAUCCAAGGUUGCUUGGGGCUGGGUAGUGGAUUGGUUAAGGAGCUAGCAUGCGGUCAAAAGUUGUGGGUUUAAUUCCUGGCUUCCACCGCUGUGCCCUUGAGCAAGGCACUUAAGUUGCUCCGGGGUCAAUGUAAUCCCUUGAAAUAUAGCUGACAUAUAUAAAUCAGUUUGGACAACAGUGUCUGCUAAAUGAAUAAAUGUAAAUGCAAUAUUGUAGCAAAGAGCUUUGCCUCAAGACUCAACAUGUCUGGGUUACUGCCUUAAAAUGGACAGUCUAGUCUACUUUAUUUUUCAAAACUAGGCUACACAAUGCCAGGUCUGAAUGUGUCUGUUACAGCGAAAAGGUAAAAGACAAGCCAACCCUUUAUGCCAUCCUUUAGUGGUUGGUAUUAAUUUGCAUUGACAAGAUGAUACUACACCACAAGGCACACCAAUCGGAUGUCCAUGGUUUAUAAAACUCUUCUUUGGCGAGCCACCCUGUUAUCUCCACGUCCAACGAGCCUCACCCCGUCCUAUCUCGCCAGUCAGCAGAGCAGAAGCCGACACUGGGCUGACUGACACAUAGCUCUGGUCAUCUAUCUACUGUAUGUCAUUGAGACCACAAGGGAACAAUAUCCCAUCUAUCAGUGGCCUGGCCUGGCCUGAAAGCAAAAGACAGAGAGUUAAACUAAGCCUAGUAGGUCUAUCUGUACUUGGUCUAAGUGCUAGAUUGAGCAGCACACCUUUUUUAUGAAAGUUUAAAUGUUUCUUUUUUUGUUUUCACCCAAACAUUUUGAUUAAUAAGCUUCCUGUCUCCCUUAUUAGUGAGGCUAGUUUCAUUACCAUCUCUCCGUGCACUGGGUAGCACUCAAAGUCUUCUUUGCUAGCAUGAUUAAGGAAGGUGGUCUAAGCGUCCUGAUACACAACAGCACACAACUGACACAGCAAGUCAGAACAGUCGCUUUGGUGUUCCUUCAUCUGACGGCAGCCUCCAGGCACGGCCACUGCGUCCACAACAAGUCACUGCGGAGAAAACUCCAGCUUUAAAAACAAUGCGUAUGCAUGAUGAUGAUGAUGCAUGCAUACGUCUGCCCUGCCCACCGUCAUGAUUUUGUCACGGACUGCAAAGUCUGCUUCAACUGCAGGGGAGGCACUCAAGAGACCGUGUACUUGACAUCUCAGCCUGCUAAUGCAGAUGGACACCAAGAGCCUCAACAGCAGCAAUCACGCCUACUCUCUCCUCCACUGUUCCUGUGAACUGGAUCAACAUGGCAGAGCUGCGCACGAAAUUUUUAGUCAUCAUAACCGGAAGACACCUCUGAAGCUUGACAACAGCACUGACCAAUGAGGGGAACGAUUUUUUGCGACUGAUCACCUAACCUGCAAUAUGGGAAAGGAUAACUUGUGCAUUAAUGCAGGAUAUCCGAGCCUUGCCCGUAUAUGGGCUAGCUCGAUGUCACGACAUGUAAUUACACAUUCACAAUAAGGCGACAGGUAAUAAAACGUGGCUAGGACGCAAUAUUACAAUCAAUACACCCAUCUCAGCUUAAUUCUAUGUCAGGGUACUGUGACAGUAAGUCAUUGGUUUAAAAUAAGCGACGUAGCAGGCUUAACGUUACAGCUAGCUAACGUUAGCUGGCAUCCAAAGCCCUGCUCUGUUCAAGGUAGGCUGCACAAUAAAACCUACCUGUUUCUCCUCUCCGGACUCCAAUGGCGCCUCGGACUCUUGAUUCUCUGACGACAUGUUUCUACUUGGGAAACGGUAAAGCGCCUUUUCGUCGCCUGAAAAAGGGAGCUUUUAUAUAUACUCUGCCCUCAGCCCACGGCACUCCUGUACAAUAUUCCUAUUCUUAUUCCAAAA